UUCCAUGCCGAACUCAGAAGUGAAAUGCUGUGAUGCCGAUGGUAGUGUUGGGUCUCCCAAUGUGAGAGUAGGUCACCAUCAGGU
rnacentral:rRNA from 1 species